rnacentral:rRNA from 1 species
UUAAUAGCAUAUUCAUUUGACGUUAGCUGCAGAAGAAGCACCGGCUAACUCCGUGCCAGCAGCCGCGGUAAUACGGAGGGUGCGAGCGUUAAUCGGAAUUACUGGCGUAAAGCGCAUGCAGGUGGUUUGUUAAGUCAGAUGUGAAAGACCCGGGGCGUCAACCUCGGAAUUGCAUUUGUAAACUAGGCAAACUAAGAGUACUGUAGAGGGGGGUAGGAAUUUCAGGUGUAGCGGUGAAAUGCGUAGAGAUCUGAAGGAAUACCGGUGGCGAAGGCGGCCCCCUGGACAGAUACUGACACUCAGAUGCGAAAGCGUGGGGAGCAAACAGGAUUAGAUACCCUGGUAG